UUGAGAGUUUGAUCCUGGCUCAGAACGAACGCUGGCGGCAGGCCUAACACAUGCAAGUCGAACGGUAACAUUUCUAGCUUGCUAGAAGAUGACGAGUGGCGGACGGGUGAGUAAUACUUAGGGAUCUGCCCCGGGGUGGGGGACAACCAUUGGAAACGAUGGCUAAUACCGCAUAACGUCU
rnacentral:rRNA from 1 species